UACGGAGGGUGCAAGCGUUGUCCGGAAUUAUUGGGUUUAAAGGGUGCGUAGGCGGUUAAUUAAGUCAGAGCUGAAAUCCCACAGCUUAACUGUGGAACUGGCUUUGAUACUGGUUAACUUGAGUACACUAGAGGUAUGCGGAAUUUAUGGUGUAGCGGUGAAAUGCAUAGAUACCAUAAAGAACACCGAUAGCGAAGGCAGCAUACUUGGGUGUAACUGACGCUGAGGCACGAAAGCGUGGGGAGCGAACAGG
rnacentral:rRNA from 1 species